rnacentral:lncRNA from 1 species
AACAUCACACUAAGGUACCGUUUGGUUCGGGUAUAAGAUAGAACUGCUAGUUCCAGGGAUAGGUAUAAAUAUUGGAACUAGCUAGAACUAGUGUAUUUUUGUGUUUGGUUGAGUAUUAGAUUUGUACCAGGUAUAAGAAAAAUAGUGUUUGGAUGUAUAAGAUAGAAUAAGAGGAAUAAAGUAUGAAAGGGAUUAAAAAUAGGUAACAAAAAUUAAUUAAAUAAAUAAUGAAUUACAAUAUUGUUAAAAAACAUUACUAAUUAUUUAAUGAAUAUUUUUUUGUCAACUUGCGCUCGUUAGAAUUAAAUUAUACUUCUCGAAAAAAUAAUUUUAAACUUUCAUACUGCAAUAAGAUUUAUAACAAACUAACCAAAUUAAUAACUAUAGUAAAAUAAAGAAACAUUCAAACCUUUUCAUACACAUGUUAUAUACAAUUUGUUACAAACACUGUCUUUCCACCUUUUACAUACAUUUCAAUCCAUAUUGCAAACAACAUAUUAAUAAUUUAUCCAGAAAAUACCAAGUAAUAUUUGCCUGCGAAUAUAGUCGAGAAAUACAAGUUCGCAAAUUUAAAUAUAAGAUCAUUCAAAAGUAACAUGUAUUAUAAUAUUUNUGAUAAAACUUUGAGAGCCAAAUUAUUAAGAUUAAAAGUUCAUAUUGUGGAAAUAUUAAAUUGUUAAAAAAAUACUAUUUAUAUAUUCUAAAAAUAAUGUGUAUUAUAGAGUCGGAUUAUAAUAUUUUUAAUAGUACCAAGUACUUUGGUGUUAUCAAAUUUUUUAUUGACUUUAAUUUUUUAAUUAUUUUUAUCUGUUAGAUCAUAGUCAUAAAAAAUUACUAUUAUCCUAACCGCACGUUUCUUUAUCGAAGGGCCAAAAAUCUAAUAGCACCAACUGUUUGGUGCUAUUAGAAGCAUUUCAAUCUAAUUCAUAUAUAACGCUUUCAUUCUAAGAUUUAAAAAUCUUUUGAGUUUUUAGGUUUUUUAAACAAAGUUGAUAAAAUAACGGCAAAUAAUGAGAGCCCUGAAUUACCGCUCAAAGUAACCAAUGAUUGAUUGGGUACCUUCUGGGGUACCCGUAGUAUCGCCCAAAGAAGGGCCAAUCCAACUUAAAAAAAAAAAAGAAUUUGAAACAGAGAUAACAAUAUAUCGCGCACCCAUGUGAGUGAGUAAGAUUGCGGCAUAGGAGGAGACGCACUUUCUUUUACCGCCCCAUCGGAUAUUUCAGAGCACACAUACAUCACUUUUAAAAAAACCCUUUAUUCACUAUUCAGUAUUCACCUUUCCCCUUCGCCAUGGCUCCCUCUCUCCCCUCCUUCUUCUUCAUCCUCCUCCUACGAACCCUAACAAUGGCGUACGCCGCCACCUCCCCCGACGACAUCGAAGCCCUAAGAUCCUUCGUGGCCGCGGUGGAGCCCGCCUCCGUCCCCGCGGGGUCGUGCCUCAGCACCUGGGACUUGGCCCGCGACCCCUGCGACUCCGCGUUCGGCCCCUUCUUCACCUGCGGCCUCCUCUGCUCCGACCCCUCCCCCGCAGCCCCCCUCCGCCGCGUCACCGCCGUCGCCCUCGCCGGCUCCGCCUACUCCGGCGACGCCGCCGCGGCGGUCGCGGCCCUCCUCUCCCUCCCCUUCCUCUCCUCCCUCGACCUCUCCGACAAGCCGCUUCUCCGGGCCCCUCCCCGCCUCCCCCGACCGCUCUACCGCUACCCCCUCGCCUCCUCCGCCUCUCACCUCAUCGCAACCCUCUCCGGCCCAUCCCCUCCUCCUCUUCCCCCUUGUCGCCUGCCUCGCCGCUUGCGGGAGCUCUACCUCCGACGGGAACCCUCCUUCGCGCCCGAUCCCCGCGAGCUCCAUCGCUCCCUCCGCGCCCUCGCUACCGACCUCGAUCUCCGAUCCAACAACCUCUCGGGCCGUCUAUCUCUCUCUCUGCCCCGUCCGGGGCUCCUCACUUGUCAGGCGAGCGACACUUCGAACGCGCUCUGGGCCCUUUCCGGCCCGGUGCGGCUCUCCCCGCGUCCGCUCCUCCCGCUCGCUCCGCGGCAACACGCCUCCGCGGCGGCUGACGGGCGCGUCCCUAGGGCGCUGCCCGCGUCAGUAUCGCGUGCUGGCCUGGCCGGGAAGCGCUGGAGGCGGCGCCCCGGCGCGGCGUUCGCGCCGACACCGCCUGGAGCAAGCUUGAACGCUGGCGUCCGAAACCGGGCUGGGGGGGUCGAGGUGAGGAGCCCGACGGGCGUGGUCGACGAGCCGGCUGUGGCGGUGGAGCUGGGCGGAAUACCGAACGGGGCGCGCUGCGGGCUUCUUUGGGAUGAUGCCGCGGCUGGCGGGCGGUGGUGCUGGAGGGGAACCGUUCGCGGGUCAUCCCGCCGGCAGUACGCGCUGCGGUGCGGGCCUCUGGUCUGCGGGACAUGGGCCCGUUCGGCAGCGGCGAUGCUGGCGGGAAAUACGCUGAUUGGGACCGAUACCGAGCCCGAAUGGAGGGGUGAAGGAUGGGAUGCCGAUGGGACGCUGGCGACAACUGGCAUCCUCCGCUGCCGCCCCGCAGUGUACUUCUUCUCUCCAGGGCCUGCCCUCAGAAGCCGCGCCGCCACGUGUUCAGCGCCUUCAACCCCGCCAACCCCCUCACUUAAACUAAACUUCACUUUAAUUUUUUGAUUUAUCGAUGAUGAUGAUGUGAUUAGAGUGUGCUGUAAAAGACAUAUCAUAAAUAUAUAUUAGAUAAUAUAGGGAAAAAGAAAAUGUAGGAAAAGAAAGGACUUGCAGGGCACGGUGUGUAAAACAAAAAAAAUAACGAUCCGCUGAAUGUUGCGAAGAAUGGUACGGACUGUAAAGAGUUUUUUUUUUAAAAAAAUUAAUGUAAUAAAUUAAUUGUGUUUUUAAGGAUAUCGGAGCUUGAACUUGGGAAAGAAGAAGAGCUCAGUGGAAGGAAAGUACUUAAUUAGGCGAUAUCAGCAUUCCCUAGGUACCGUUUGGUUCGGGUAUAAGAUAGAACUGCUAGUUCCAGGGAUAGGUAUAAAUGUUGGAACUAGCUAGAACUAGUGUAUUUUUGUGUUUGGUUGAGUAUUAGAUUUGUACCAGGUAUAAGAAAAAUAGUGUUUGGAUGUAUAAGAUAGAAUAAGAGGAAUAAAGUAUGAAAGGAAUUAAAAAUAGGUAACAAAAAUUAAUUAAAUAAAUAAUGAAUUACAAUAUUGUUAAAAAACAUUACUAAUUAUUUAAUGAAUAUUUUUUUGUCAACUUGCGCUCGUUAGAAUUAAAUUAUACUUCUCGAAAAAAUAAAUUUAAACUUUUAUACUGCAAUAAGAUUUAUAACAAACUUACCAAAUUAAUAACUAUAGUAAAAUAAAGAAACAUUCAAACCUUUUCAUACACAUGUUAUAUACCAUUUGUUACAAACACUGUCUUUCCACCUUUUACAUACAUUUCAAUCCAUAUUGCAUACAACAUAUUAAUAAUCAUAUAAGAAUAUUUCUAACCAUCUUAUUAAAUAUUUAACACAAUAUAGACUAUGCUACAAACUUUACGAAACAUUGACGAUAAAACAAUACAAAAGACAAACCAUCCGUUAGCAUACAUUACAAAAGCGUAGCAGACAUUAAUAAGUAUGCAAUAAAAGCAAAAUAUGUCUACAUAUUUUAUAUAAACACAUAUAAUUAGCACACAUGAAAGCAAACUCAUUUAAUACAAUCCAAUGCAAACGACACUCCCAGAUAAUUAACUUCUACUAUUCCAUAACUGGUCUGUAAUACUAGUGCGAAUAUCGUCGCCCCGAUGUGACUCCGAUGUGGCGGCAAAGCCGAAAUCCCCAAGGUCUUCUUCGUCAUCUUCAGGAGACGGUGGGUCAAGCUCUUCAGUAAAAUAUCUAUCAGCUCCGUGAUGUCGACGAAUAAAGUUGUGUAUGACACAACAUGCCAUAGCAAUAAGACAUUGAACUUUAUAGGGAAUGGAGUUGCAAUAUUUAGAAUCUUGAAACGCUUCUUCAAUAUGCCGAAAGUCUUCUCUACUACAUUUCGUAGUUGAGCAUGCCGAUGAUUAUACAAGUCUCGCGGAUUGCGAUGUGUGCGGCCACGGGUAUUACCCUCAAAUUAACUAAUAUGGUAUCUCUCUCCGCGAUAUGGCGCAAGAAAUUUAUCAGUAUUAGCAUAUCCAGAAUCUACCAAGUAAUAUUUGCCUGCGAAUAUAGUCGAGAAAUGCAAGUUCGCAAAUUUAAAUAUAAGAUCAUUCAAAAGUAACAUGCAUUAUAAUAUUUUAACAAGUAAAUAACCGAAUUAUACCUUCGGGAAUAGUAAACCCUCCACUUUCGCAUGCCGAUCUUAAUACUCUCAUAUCAGCUGCUGAACCUUCCCAUCCUGUGCAUACAAAUAGAAAUAUAUGAUCAAAGGAUACAGCAGCCAUCAUAUUCUGUGAUGUAAAUCCUUUGCGACACCUAAAUCGUGGUUGCUUGCUCUUUCGGACAACCACGGGAAUAUGCGUACCGUCCAAUGCACCUAUUGCAUUCUACAAAUCACCAAAGCUCAUAUUAUACAAUUAAUGCAAAAUAUAAAGUAACAUAUAAGGCUGGAAAAUAUAUUAGUUAUACUCAACCUUGAAAGGAUGGAAAUUCGGAUUAUCCCUAAUUCUUGGAUGUACUGUAGUAUAACUCGGUGGCAGGGUUACAUAAUCAUCUUUCAGCAUAACAAUUCCGCGAAGAACAUUAUUAAAAUGUCGACUAAUAGUUUCACCAGAAUGUUGAAAAGUUUCUGCCAGUACCCUAUUUGCAACUCCAUGGCCUACGCAGAAAAGAAAAAUUGCUAACUGUUCGUCAGCUGUCAUAUUUCUUGUGCUAGUUAUCAGCCCUCUUCCAACAAGCUCAUCACGAAGCGCAAUGAAUAUAGUGGUCGUCAUUCGAAAAUGAUUAUACCCUCGAUCAGGAUGACCAUUCAAAAUAUCACAAAUGAAUUGAUGGCCAGUGAAUGGCCUGGUACGACAUUGUCGCUUUUGAGAUGUAUUACUAUAUGUCAAGUAUCCUUGAUUAAUGAGCACUACAAAUACUUGCUCCCAAUAAGCAUCCUCUUCGUCUAAUAUUGUCAUCAUAUUGCUUAUCACAGGUGAAGAAAACAUAGUUGAAUAUAAUGACAUUGUGAGUACGGCUGCAAAAACAUAAUAUUUAGUACCUCAGUUAUGACAUCAUGUGAAAGAUAAGCAUUACAUAAUAGUAAAAUCACGACUAAAUCGUACGAGUACAUAAAGUCAACAACAACAUAAGAUAAAUGCAACGAGUAAUGCAGGCAUAUCGAAAUAUGUUACCACUGCAUCUAAAGCCUACUACGAGUACAUAGAGUCAAGUAUAAUAAAACAUACAUGCAAAGAGAAAUAGCAGCAUCAUGAAACAUACAAACAACUGCGUCUAAACCGUACACGAGUACAUAGAGUUCUAAAAAACAUAAGAGGAAGAGCAAAGAGUAAUCCUAACAUAACCAAACAUAAAGUCAUCUCAAUCGUACCACCAACAGUAAAGUCGUCUCCUACAAGUCUGGAAAAUAUUGCUUGUAUAUGUUAUUUUGCGAUGCAACUUGCCGGUCAAUCCACAUACAUGCAUGCUCAUCCAGCAUCGUCAUAAACAUUUGACGAUUCUUAUCCUCUUUUAACACAUCAGCCGCUGUCAUAUAGAUCUCUAUCUGUCAAUCCAGGUAGAUGAUAGAAUCUGCCUAUUGCAUUUGUUUUUUCGAUCUAGUUUGUAUGUUUGAUAUCUGGCUAAUUCCGCAUCAUCGCAAACCUCUCGAACUAAAUCGUUCUGUGUUUCCCGCUUCGCUACCUUUAGCUUCGCUCACUUUGGAUUCACUUGGUUUUUCAAUUUAUUUUGUUUCUGUCGUCCUCGACGAGUACAUGCCUUUGUUCUGUGAGAUUGUAGCUGUGAGAACGAUCCGCCCUCUUUACUCGUCCCAGACGGAGUUCCAACAUCUAGCAUUUCCAGUCGUACACGAGUAGGGAUUAUCCAGUUGCUAGAAGAGCGUUGUUAUUAGUACUCGCUUUACUGAUUGGCAUAAGAGCGCAGAGCCGUAUGACCCUCCGUCUUUCGAAAGCCUUGUUACCAUUGAAUCAACAUCUCUCAUCCAAUAUCCCUUUCAUCCUCAACCAGGAAUAAAUGAGAAACCUCUAUCUUAGGCUAGCCAUUCAUUGUCGAGAAACAUAUCUCUGAAGUCCAUGUUGAACGGGCUUUCAGCUAAGAACUCAAUGGCCAUUCAUUUAGCUUGGAAAUGGUUUACUCCUAACAUCUUGCAUACGCCGAUUCUCCUAGAAACAUCAUUUAGUAUUAAGUCAUAAUAUGAAUAAACUAUAUAUCCAUAUUAAUAAAAAGCAUGAAUAUUGCUAGGUCGUUAAAUUGUCAGGCCGGCAAUUACAGUCCAUACACUUCGACACCACAGCUGAAUAUUGCUAGGACACGUAAUCCCAUCUCCCAUCCCCUCUAUAUAAGACAGUUGACAACAUGAACAUCUCUUUAGCACUCUUAGCCCGAUAUCGUUAUUUGGCCCUUGUCAAGCAUAUUGGUCCUAUUUGCUGAAACAUAUUAUUCAUCCAAGAACUUGUAGAAUACCAUUGUAUCUUCACUAAAGCUCGCUUCUUCUAGUUAGACUACGCAUAGGUCAAUCAUACUCAUCAGCUCCAUUUGAGUUCCGCCUUGCAAGAUUAGGUAUCGCAAUCUCCUACUACUUCAACGUGUAAUUUUGAAAUGUGUGUGUUCAAAACACACACCUUUCUUAAUAGUCAGAUUAAUGGAUUCUGCGAGGCAGGCAUCUGUGCAAACAAAUAAGCAAAUUCAUUACGUAACUACAUCUUGCAUAAUUCUGUUUGUCCACUUCACACUAACGACGGACAAUAUCAUACUGCAUUACGUCCAAGAAUCUAAAUAAAACGAUACUGCAAAAAUCUGAAAAAUUAGCACUAACUAAGCAUAUAUUCCACUUUAUCCAAACAGAUUGACGACUAUUCAAAGAAACAUAAGUUUUUUGAACGUAUGAAUGAACUACAACGAAGGCAUUUGACAACUAUAAACUGAUAUGAAUCGAAAAGGAUCUUGAAAAAUUGUAUAAUGAAUAGAAAUCGCAUCUUUUUGUGAUAUUCGGGUCAUGUGACAAAAUUCUUUCAAGGAGCAUGGGGGCAUUGAUUUGUAGAAUCACUCGCCAUCCAUCCUAAGCAACUUAAAACCGUCAUCAUCGCCAAUACAAUCUUCCGCAUGCUCAUUAAAUCAAACACUGUAAUCAUAUUCCAACAAGCAUCAUUCAUUCCGGCAAACAAGCAACAUAAUCAUUUUACAACAUAGCUCGCACACAGUUUACUUCUCUAACCUGACGGGCAUAAACUCAGCAUAUACUGCAUAAUCCGAAUAUAUGAAUAUUUAGAUGCUAGCUGCGAUUUGAUGAACUGGUUACUCAUAGACUAAUAUCCUCUAAUCAUACAAAAAGUUAGACAAACUUGAUGUAGCAAGAAAUUGUAAAAGAACAACCAAACUUAACGCCAACACGGUUAAAUCAAACAGGGAUCGCACAAAGCAGCGGAUAUCAACACCCCCCACGUCUGCCUCGGCAAUAAAUACAUGCAAAGUGAAAAAAAAAAAGGUUCGGCAUAAAAGAUCUACAUAGAUCAUCAGCAGCUCGGCGGUAUCGAGCUAGGACUGAAUAACCGAGUGUACACACUAUCCAAUUAGCAAUACGCAUGCAGAGGGGAUAGCUACAAUGAAGAGAGAACACCCUACAGACCGAAAUACGAUGCCUACGACCGCGUCGACCAAAGCCACAAAAGCAUAUCAAAGAGGAAAACACAAUAAAAAUUUUUUUGGGAAUAUAAUACUAGAUUCUAGUAAACUCUCUGUUAGGUCACAUCCAAUAGGCCAAAAUCAGAACACGAUCUCUCGGCGUCGGCCACGCGAGAGUAAAUCGAAGCGCGCCGCAGAUCGAGUGAGGCAACGAGGUGCGGAGGAGGAAGCGGAUCUUCUCGAUCGGCGACGCACAGUAAAUCGCGGAGGGAAGAGGGCUAGGAAAGGGGAUCAACGACUUCGGAGAGUCACACGGUGCAGAGGAGUCAGAUGAGGUAGCCGGCCGAGCUCCGGUGGCACCAUAUAUGUCGCCGAUCAAAGCCGAUCAAAACCGAUCAAAGCCGCACAGUGAACCAGAGGAAAGAGGAAGCGGAAAGAGGAUCAACGGCUUCGGAGAGACAGAUGGCGCUGAGGACGAAGAUGAGGUAGCAGUCCGAGCUCCGGUGGCACCAGAUCUGUCGAAGAAGGGACGGGGAUCGCCGAUCGAAGCCGCACAGUAAACUGGAGGAAAGAGGAAGCGGAAAGGGGUUCAAGGGCUUCGGAGAGACAGAUGGCGCCGAGGAGGAAGGUGAGGUAGCCGUCCGAGGUCCGGCGCCACCAGAUCUGUCUCGAGGAACGGACGGAGAUCGCCGAGAACGAAGCCGCACAGUAAACCGGAGGAAAGAGGAAAGAGGGAGAGGAAAGGGGAUCGAAAAAAUCGGAGAGAGAAAGAGAGAGAGAAGGGGAACAGCGGUCGUAUUCCACCCUCGGGUGGGAACAACUGUUCCCACCCGUUAGCGGGUUAUCCUUGGAUAACCCGCUAAGGUGGGAACAGCUGUUCCCACCUUAGCCUAUUUGUGUUUGGGAAACUAGGGGGAAUUAACCCCUUAUUCACCCCCUAGUUCCCCAACCAAACGGUACCAUAGAAACCAGCUAGAAAUUAAAUCGUUUGAUUAGUAAACAAGUCGGACACGAGCUGCUUGCUCGUGUUCAACUUGAUAACAGCACUAAUAUAUAUAUAUUAUAUUUAUAUAAUUUUAUAUUUUAUAUUUUAUAUCUAUAUAUAUAAAUAAAUAAUUAUAUAUAAUAUAUAUUUUUAUUAUCUAAUUUUUAAUCUAAUUUAAAUAUAAAGCUCAAUUUAAUUAUAAAAAAAUUUAUUUAUAGGAACAAAAUUUAAUAAAUAAAAUCUCAUAAAUUUAUUUUUUAUAUAUAUUUUUAAAAUUUUGUUUAAUUUGUUAUAUUUCCUGAGUCUGCUCGUCCGGAGACUGAUAAUAAAUAAGUCGAAUAUGAAUUGAACUUUUCAACUAAGAUACUUUACGCUAGUGUUCCGCUCGACGGCACUAGGGGUGUAAANUAUGAAUGGUGAAUGUAUGAAUGUAUGGUAAUUUCUAUAUUCAUAUAGUUGUGGUUGUAUCCUGUUUGUACUGUUGUACUUGUGCGACGCCGUGCAAAUACAGGGGAGACUCUGUCCGUGUGAACAGUGGAAUCUCUGUAUUUGUGGCGGGUCUGGCAUACUCUGGGGUCAGGAUUUCAAAAAAAAAAAAAAAUUCAGACGCUUUCCCGCUAUCUUUUAAGCUCAAAGGGACCCCGGGGCGUGACAGCUUCGAAAGGCGUUGGUUGAAGAUUGAAUGCAGACAUUCUCUCUCCAAUUAUCCCUUCUUCCUCACCAGGAGAUGAUGAGGAAGAGCUAUCUAUCGUAGGCGCUGAGGCCAUUCUUGUCGAGAAACUAUAUCUUCCUGUAGCCGUAGUCUUUGCAGUAAGAAACUCAAUGGCAUCAUAGGCUGGAAAUGGUUUAUCCCUACACUUCGCAUACGCCGGAUUCUCCUGAACACAAUUUAAGGUAAAUAUUAUUAAAUAAGUAUUAUUCUACUGUAAUAAGAAGUUGAAAUGAAAGUCGUUAAAUUGUACCGCAAUUAUUGCAUCCCAGUCACUUUCAUCACCAGCCGUGGGAAUGUUCUGGACAGUAUCCCAUCCCCAUCCACUCUUAUUUGCAAGACAGUUGUACAACAUGAACAUUCUCUUUAGCACUUUUAGCCGAUUCUUUAUUUGGUCCCUUGUCAAGGUCAUAUUGGUCCUAUUGUUGAAAUCAAUUAUUAUUCUAAUAUACACAACGUUUGUGAAUGACCCAUUGGUGUAGUUUCCUAAAGCGUGUUCUUCUGUCAGUAGACUAAGCAUGGUUGCAUCCAUACUAUCGGUCCAAUUUGGAGUUCGCUUCCACGAUUGGUUAUGCAAUCUGCUACUACCUUCCACGUGUACAUUUUGGAAAUGUGUGGUUUCAAACACCACACCUAUCUUAUGAGCAGACUUAGAUGGUUUCUUGAGAGGAGGCUUCUGUGGUUCAAAUAAAUAGCAAUUCAUUGCCAUACCAUUCAUGUGGUUUGACACAAUUCUGUUUGUCCACUUUCACAACGAGGACAAUAUCAUACAUGCAUUACGGUCAAGAAGCUAAUAAAGAUAGUGAGAAAUCUAUAAAAAUUGCACUAGCUAAGCAUAUUUAUGUUCCACUAUAUCCAAACAUAUUGAAGACUAUUCAAGAAACUGAAGUAUUUAAAAGUUAUUAUAAUAAAAUACAAGUGAAGGCAGUUGACAACUAUAAACUGAUUAUAAUGAAAGGAUGCAGUUGAAAGAUUGUAUAAUGAAAUAGAAUCGGUAUCUUAUGGUGUGAUAUUGGGUCAUGUGGCUCAAAAUGAUUUUCAAGGAGCAUGGGGGUGCAUUGAUUUGUAGAAUCAUGCCAUCCAUCUAAUGCAACUUGAAACUGUCAUCAUCGCCAAUACAAUCUUUCGCAUCCUUCAUGUAAAUUUAAACAACUGUAAUUAUAUUCCCACUAUAUCAUGCAUUCCGGCAAACAAAGCAACAUAAUCAUUUUACAUACAUGCUGCCACAGGGUUCUCUUCUCUACCGACGGCAUAGACUCAUCAUAAAUGAAUAUCACAUAUGGAUAGAAUUUUAGCAUGCAUAGCAGUAAAUCAUAUAUCCUCUAAUUAUACAAAAGCUUAGAGCAAACUUGGAUGUUAGGGCAAUGAAAUCUUGGUAAGACCAAACCUUAUCGUACCACGGGUUCAGAAUGAACAGGGGAUGCACAAAAAGAGGAUUUCAACACCAAGCGGCGUCGCCGUGCAUAGAAAAUACCUGCAAAAGUGGAAGAUAAAUGGCUCGGGUAUAAUUAGAUCUACAAGAUCUGCAUGCAAGGCUCGGCCUUAUCGAGCUAGGGACUGAGGAGGACAGUCGUACAACACUCCUAGCUGCAGCAACAAGCAAUGAGAGAAGGGGGAUAGGUACAGAUGACCGGAGAGAAGCGAGACCACAGACCGGAAUAUGCGCUACUGGCGGGCGUCGAGCGAAAGCCACAAAAGCAUACAGAGAGGGGAAAAAGCACAGAAGAGGAAUUUUUGUGUAAUACAAUACUAGAUCUAGUAGUUCUCUUCUGUAGGGUCGAGUCCAAAGGCGUAAAAUCAUACCGAUCGCCGGCGUCGGCCAACCCGAGGAGUAAGACGAAGGCGCGCGCGGAGGAGGUGAGGCAACGAGGUGCGGAGGAGGAAGCGGAUCUUCUCGAUCGGCGACGCACAGUAAAUCGCGGAGGGAAGAGGGCUAGGAAAGGGGAUCAACGGCUUCGGAGAGUCAAACGGUGCCGAGGAGUCAGAUAAGGUAGCCGUCCGAGCUCCGGUGGCACCAGAUCUGUCGAAGAAGGGACGGAGAUCGCCGAUCCAAGCCGCACAGUAAAUCGGAGGAAAGAAGAAGAGGAAAGGGGAUCAACGGCUUCGGAGAGACAGAUGGUGCCGAGGAGGAAGAUGAGGUAGCCGUCUGCGUUCCGGUGGCACCAGAUCUGUCGAAGAAUGUCCGGAGAUCGCCGAACGAAGCCGCACAGUAAACCGGAGGAAAGAGGAAGAGGAAAGGUGAUCGACGGCUUCGGAGAGACAGAUGGUGCCGAGGAGGAAGAUGAGGUAGCCGGGGGCGCUUCGGUGGCACCAGAUCUGUCGAAGAAGGGAUGGAGAUCGCCGAACGAAGCCGCACAGUAAACCGGAGGAUUAUAGGGGAAUAAGCGUAGUUCCUGCCUCGGGUGGGAACAGCACCACCCGUUAGCGUGUUAUCCUUGGAUAACCCGCUAAGGUGGGAACAGAUGUUCCCACCAAACCCAAUUUCUGUUUGGGGAACAAGGGAGGAUUAACCCCUUAUGCACCCCCUAGUUUCCCAACCAAACACUGCCUUAUUACUUUUUCUCUCUCCUUUUUUUUCUCUCGUUCUUUUUUUUCUCUCUCCGAAGAAAGCAGCGGAGGCGGAGGUGAAGGCGAAGGCGGAAAUAGCCCAUCUCGCCUCUGCCCCGCACGCCUUCGCCCGUGCACUCCAGCCCUCCUCGCCUUCGACCCUGCUGAGGCCACGUGGCCACCCUUCUUCUCCACUAGGGCAUGGCGACGUUGAGACGCAGGCUCUUCUGCUCGACGUCGUCGGAAGCGGCGAGAUCGCCUCCGACGACGUCACAAUAGUUGCGAUAGAAAGAAGGGAGAGGUGGCGACAAAAAAAAAAUUAUAGAAAAAAAUAUGAAUAAUAAAAAAUUAAAAAAUUUAUUUUUUUCCUACAGAAAAAAUUAAAAAAUAUAGGAGAAGAAAAAAAUGAUGAAAUUGCACUCUUAAAAAAAUUACACUGUUUUUAAAAAAAAAAUUUGCACUGUUUUAACGAAAAUUGCACAAUUUCAUAUAGAAAUUACACUCUUUUAAAAUAGACUAUACACUCUUUAGGCCAAGAUUUCACCAUUUACGAAAAUUUUACACUAUUUCUUUUUUUAUAUUUUUUUUUCUUUUUUCUUCUAAUCCAAAACUCAAAUUCAACUAAAAAUCCAGCAUAAAUAGGAAGAAAAUUAACCGCUAAUCCCAAUUCCACUCCGAGCAAAUAAAGAAAACAAAAAGAGGAUCACGUACUCGGCGAGAUCCCCGAGCUGGUGCAAGAUCCCAACGAGCCCCGCGACGGCGGCCCUAUCGAGAAGCUCUUUUGGCUUCUCCCGCUUCGCGGUCCCUCUGUAGAGCUCCCGAUCUCCCAACCCUUACUCGUUCCGCACCUCAAACCGCACCGGAGGCAUCUUCCCCCUUCCCCUCUCCCCUUCACCGCGGAGCUCGAGGAGACGCCGAUCGCGAUCCGGAUGGGCCGAGAGCUCACGCCAGGGCUCCCAUGGCGGAGGCCCGCGCUGUUAUAGGAAGAAGACUCGGCUGGCGACGGCGAUAGCGACGGAGACGGUGACGGCGACGGCGAUGGCGCAACCUUCGCACGAGCGCGCGAGCACCGCACUAGUUGAGAAAUCCCAUGUACUCAUGCUUCUUGAUNCACGAGCGCGAGAGCGCCGCACUAUGUGAGCUUUUUUGUUUUUUCUCACUUUUGGGUCACUCUCCAGAGUCUGGGAGUAUCGUUGUCAAAGAAGAAAAAGAAGAAGAAGAAGAAGAGAAAGAGAAACAAAAAAAAAAAAGAAAAGAAAUAGUGCAAUAUUUUCGUAAAUGGUGCAAUCUUGGCCUAAAGAGUGUAAAGUCUAUUUUAAAAGAGUGUAAUUUCUAUAUGAAAUAGUGCAAUUUUUAUUAAAACAGUGCAAAUUUUUUUUUAAAACAGUAUAAUUUUUUUUUAAGUGUGCAAUUUCAUCAUCUUCUUUCUUCUCCUAUAUUUUUUGAUUUUUCUGUAGGAAAAAAAUAUUCUUUUUUUUUUUAUUAUUCAUAUUUUUUUCUAUAAAUUUUUUUUUUGUCACCGCCUUCGACCACGUCUUGGCAUUCUGAUGCACGGUGGAGGAGAAGAGUCUGCGUCUCGAUGUCGCCGUGCUCUAGUGAAGAAGAAGGGUGGCGACGUGGCCUCAGCAGGGUCGGAGGCGAGGAGGGCUGGAGUGCACGGGCGAGGGCGUGAACUGCGGAGGCGAGGCGGGCUGUUUCCGCCUUCACCUCCGCUGCCUUCUUUGGAGAGAGAAAAAAAAAGAGCAAGAGAAAACAAAAGAGGAGAGAGAAAAAGUAAUAAGAGUAUUUUGAUCAGUUUGCUGAAAUUUCGGCCCGAAUCUUCAAAAUCGAAAAAAGUUGUCCACUUUUGCAAAAGCCCAAAAUUAGUGAAUUUUUUAUGCAAAUUGGCCAAUUUAUAUUAGUUUAAAUUUUAUCCUAUUAUAAUUUUAUCCAUUUAUAAUUGUAUCCAAUUUCCAGUUUGCUUUUUUUUAAUACCAAAUUAUUAAAUAUAAAUAUCACUCAUCAAAUUACUAUAAAUAUAUAACAAUCAAAUAUUAUCUAACCAAUCUAUUGUAUUAAAAAACUAAUUACGUUUAAAAUAUUCAAUUAAAUUUAGAAUAUAAUAAAAAUAUUAAACUUAGCUUUUAUAUUUUAUAAUAACAAUAUAUUAUAUUAUUUUGUAGAGAUUGGGAAUUUUGUGGGACGGGGAGUACGAUCCCUAUCCCGCUCCGUCUCCGCGAGUGAAAGGGGAAUUUUUCUCCGGAUAAACUUCAAAUACCACUCAUGUGGUUUCGCACUUUUUUACUCUAAUAUCAUGUGGUUUAAAGCGUAUUAAUUUAGUAUCAUAUAGUUUUAUUUUUCACUUUUUUUCAGUUCAUCCAUUAAUAUUUUGUUAAAUUAUAUACAAAAAAUUUCAGAUAUCCAUCUAGAUUUAUCGAAUAUUUACUUUAGUACCUUCUAAUUUUAACUUUGUUACUGAUUUAACGAAAAAAAAAUAGUGAAAGAGAUAAUAAAACAAAUAAAAUUACAAAAUAUUAAAUUAAUACACUUUGAAUUAUAGAGUACUUAAAUAAAAAAAAGAAAAAUAAAACCACAAGAAUGGUAUUUAAAACUUUUCCUUUUUUCUCCCUCCCAGUUCCCACGGGACAAAAUUCUCUCCAUUCCUGUCCGAAGCGGAGUCUGGAAAUAUUACCAUUCCUACAACUGGGUAGUGCAUACAGCUUAAAAAAAAAAAAAAUGUAAAUAUUAUCUUCUUAAUAUUCUUAUUUAAUAUUAGAGAAAUACUUUAAUUUGAGUUCCCUAUUUUGGCAUUUACAUGUAAAAGGUGAAAGAGUUAUAAUAGAGUUUAGAGUUUAGGGUAUAAUGAUAUUGUUUAGGAUUUAAUAAUGUGUUUGGAACUCAGUAAUUAAUAUUUAGGAUCCGUUUAGUUCGGGAAUAACGAACAUUAAGAUAAAUAUUUUUUACUUCUGGGAUAACUUGCUUUUUCAGCAAGGAAUAAGAGUAAAAUUGUAUCAUUAUUAAUAUUGUAGGGUAUCUUUUUAUGUUAUUAUGUUGUUCAUUAUUUGUUUGUUACAUGAUAUAACAAGGCGUUAUGGACACGGAUACGGACAUAAGACACGGGACAAGAGACACAGCAAGUCAGGAGCUUCUAAAAAAUUAAGACAUGAAUACAAUAUGGAAAUCUCUAACAAAAUAUAGUAUUAUUAAUAUAAUAAUAUACAUUUAUUCUAUAUAAAAUAAUAAUUUUGCUAAAAUAUUAUUAUAUUUCUCAUACAAAUAAAAAUUAAAAAAAUUCUUAUUAAUAAUUCAUAUAUUUGAAGAAAAAACUUUGCCAUCAUGCAUAAUUUGUUUAUAUUGUUCAAAAGAAUUUGUAUGUAUUAAUAGAAAAGCAAAAAAUAUUUAUCAUCUUAUUAAUAAUUCAUAUAUUUGAAGAAAAAAUUUCGCCAUCAUGCAUAAUUUGUUUAUAUUGUUCAAAAGAAUUUGUAUGAGAAAUAUAAUAANUCUUAUUAAUAAUUCAUAUAUUUGAAGAAAAAAUUUCGCCAUCAUGCAUAAUUUGUUUAUAUUGUUCAAAAGAAUUUGUAUGUAUUAAUAGAAAAGCAAAAAAUAUUUAUCAUCUUACAUUAUAGCCCAAUUUACAUAAAAAUUUACUAAUUUUGAGAUAUGCAAAAGUAGGCCGUUUUUAUGGAUUUUGCAGAUUCAGAUCGAAUUUUACAAAAACUGACCAAAAUAUCUUUAUUCUCUUUUCUCUCUCUUUUUUUCUCUCUCGUUCUCUUUUUUCUUUCUGACUCUCCUCCACCGCCUUCGCGGCUCUCCAUGACGGUAAUGAGCGCAACGCCGCAUCCUCUUUCUCCGUCACCGCCUUCGCAGCCCUGUGCGACUAUGAGAGAGCAACGCCACAUCCUCUUCCUCCGUCUUUACCAGCGCAAGCAUCGACACCGGCGCCGGAGGAAGAGGAUUCUGAGAGCGCGCGGGUGAGAGUGGAGCUGACGGACGCGAUGAGAUCGUGGACAAGGCAGUGCUCGUUGUCACCCAUGAGGGUGAGGAUGAAGACGUGCCUGUAUUCUCCAAGAAGCGCUUUCGGCAAGGGCAGUGGCUGCGGUAGAGGGCUAAGGAGAGUUCGCAAUAGUAAAAAAAAGAUGCAAAUGAUAGAAAAAAAAGAAAUAAUAAAGAAUAAAAAAAUAAAAAAAUUCUACAAAAAAGACGAGAAUUAGAGGAAAAAAGAAAAAGAUGAAGUUGCACUGUUUCAGAAGAGCGUUGCACUAUUUUAGAUAAAAAUUAAACUCUUUGAGACAAAAACUAUACUCUUUGAGAUGAAAAUUGCACUCUUUAAGUGAAAGUUAUACUAUUUUUCUUCCUCCUCCUUCCUUUUCGCUUCCUCGUGCUUCUUCUGCGCUUAUCUCAUUUUCGUCCUCCACCUCCACCUCCACCACAGCAGAUCCGCCACCCAUCAAACCCACCUCUGAGAACCUGCCAUUGCCACCUCCGCCGCCAACGACGAAAAGGACGUGUUUCUCGGCGCCGAGAAGCUCGUCGGCAAGGAAAGGGAGACACGGCCCAUUGCGCCCACUCGAGGACAGCAACACACGAGGUGGAGACGAAGGAGAGCGCAACGACAUUGGAGAAGAGAGCAGGCGAGGAGGGUGAGGUCUCCGCUUCGGCCCGCCCUCUUCUCCGACAUCGUCAUGCUCUUCUCUGUCUCCACCAUGCUCGUCGCCAUCCUCGGGUGCACUGAGAAGCUCAUCGGCAAGGAAAGGGAGACACGGCCCACUGCGCCUACUCGGGGACGACGACGCAUGAGGUGGAGACGUAGGAGAGCACGGCGACACUGGAGAAGAGUGCCGGCGAGAAGACUGAGGUGUCCGCUUCGGCCCGCCCUCUUCUCCGGCAUCAUCAUGCUCUCCUCUGUCUCCACCACGCUCGUCGCCAUCCCCGGGUGGAGCCGUGGGCCACAUGCCCCCUCCUUUGCCGGCGAGCUUCUCAGUUUCGCGAAGCGCUUCCUCUUCAUUGUUAUUGGUGGUGGCGGGGACGGCAUAUUCCCAUAAGUGGGUUUGGUGGGUGGCCAAUCUGUUGCGGUGGAGGUGGAGAGCGAAGAGGAGAUGGGCCCAUAAGAAGCAUGAGGAAGCGAGAGGGAAGGAGGAGAGGGAAAAUAGUAUAACUUUCACCUGAAGAGUACAACUUUCAUCUAAAAAGUAUAACUUCAUCUAAAGGAGUAUAAUUUUUGUCUCAAAGAAUAUAAUUUUUUGUUUACAACAGUGCAACAUUACUAUGAAAUAGUGCAAUUUCAUCUUGACAGUGCAACUUCAUCUUUUUCUUCUUUUCUCUGUUUCUUUACUUUUUUAUAGAAAUAAUAUUUCUUUUAGAUUUUUAUUCUUUAUUCUUCUUCUUUUUUUUCCUACUCUCUGUAUUUUUUUUCGCUAUCGCAAUCUCUCCCUCUCCCUCUACUGCAACCACCGCCCUUGUCUGUAGCGCUCCUUAGAAAAGCGCAGGCGCGUCUUCGUCUUCACCCUCAGGAGCGACAACGAGUACUGCCUUGGCUACGACCUCAUUGCUUUUGUCUGCUCCGCUCUCAGCCGCGCUCGCUCUGAGUCCUCCAACUUCGGCGUCGGCAUCAAUACCGGCACCGAUGAAGACAGAGGAAAAGGACGCGGCGCUACCCUCGUUACCAUCGUGAAGGGCCUGGAGGCGGUAGAGGAGGUUCAGAGAAAAAAAAAGAGAAAAAAGAAAAAACCUAGAGAAAAAAAAAAGGAAGAGAGAAUAAGGAAUAAGGAUAAUUUGGUUAGUUUUUUAAAAUUCAGUCCGAAUCUAUAAAAUUAAAAAAGACAGCCUAUUUUUACAAAAUCUCAAAAUUAGUGAAUUUUUUAGACAAAUUAGCCUACAUUAUAUAUGCAUAGAAAAAAAAAUAAAAAAAAAAUUCUUUUUUUAAUAGUGGCUUUGCUCUCGUAUCACCAUCAACAAUAGAAAUGAACCCAGAAUUUUAAAUAUGCUGUUUGGUUAACGUCGCUUAGGAGUUUUCUACAUUUGAUACCAUGUAAAAUCACUCCAACAAAGAGGCCAAACAUCAAUCUUCAAAGGCUUAAUUACAUUGUACUAAUUAAAGUCAUAUUUUUAUUUUCUACACCGUACUUUUUUUUUCAAAAAUGCCACUAAAUUAUUUUUUUGGUCAAUCUUUACUGCAAAUAAGUAAUAAAUCUCUACUUUUAGAUAGAACUCAACAGUUUUGUUAGAAAAAUGACCUAUUUAUUUCCGUGUAGUAUUUUUCAAACAUCGCAAUGAGUCGACUACGAUAUAUUUUUUGUAAUUCCACCAAAAAAGAAUAAACAUAUUCAUAUACAAUUUUAUCCCAAUUCUAUUUUGGCCACUUUCUAGUCCCAUUGGAGAACGUAAAGUACUAAAGUAGAAGCAUAAAUGUAUAUGCUAAUUUUAUUCCUACUUCGUUUUGUCAAAUAAUAAUCGAUGAUCCUCCAUAACAAAAGAGCUCUAAAAAGAUUGCUAUUUGCCCAAUUACAUAAUAAAUCAAUCAACUAUACUUUGGGGUGCAUUUAUAAAUUCAAUAAUCUAGUUCGCAAACUUUUGUACUGGAAUUGAGCUAGAAUCAAUAAUUAUUGAAGUAUGAGUGCUCUCAAUAUUUUCACGUUAUUUUGAACAAUUAGGUAUUCAUAUCAAUAAUUGUCACCAUUAAAUAUGGUUUAUAACUUGUGAACUUUCUAUAUAUAAAUCAAAUUUUCAUUGAAGUUUGUUGACUUUCAGACCACCUGAUUAAUAGAUAAAUGGUAUCGAAAAAUCACGCAAUUUGAUUUGUGAAAAAUUAACGAGUAAAUCAUAUUGAAUUGUGGCGAUUGCUGAUCCGGAUAUUGCAUUAUCGAAAAAUGGCAUAAAAAUUAGUUGUGACCUGAGAAGAUAUAAUUCUGCCUCUAGAAAUGACAUCUUAAUCCUAUAUGAAGUUAAAAUAAAAUUAGUGAGUGAUAAAAUAGUCAUCUGAAAAAGAAAAUUUGGAUAAUUAGAAUAACAAUUCGGCCAACAAAUGCUAAUAACUUUACCGUUAUACACGGGGUGUUUGAUUCCACGUAAAAGUGUGAAAAUUUAUUUUUAGUGGGAAAUAAUUUCCGAUGAAAAAGUAAUAUUAUAUUUUGUGGUGUUUGGUUAGCAAAAAGUUAAA